GUGUCAGCCGCCGCGGUAAUACGGAGGAUCCAAGCGUUAUCCGGAAUCAUUGGGUUUAAAGGGUCCGUAGGCGGUUUUGUAAGUCAGUGGUGAAAGCCCAUCGCUCAACGGUGGAACGGCCAUUGAUACUGCAAGACUUGAAUUAUUGGGAAGUAACUAGAAUAUGUAGUGUAGCGGUGAAAUGCUUAGAGAUUACAUGGAAUACCAAUUGCGAAGGCAGGUUACUACCAAUAUAUUGACGCUGAUGGACGAAAGCGUGGGGAGCGAACAGGAUUAGAAACCCCUGUAGUCC
rnacentral:rRNA from 1 species